UACGAAGGGGGCUAGCGUUGCUCGGAAUCACUGGGCGUAAAGGGUGCGUAGGCGGGUCUUUAAGUCAGGGGUGAAAUCCUGGAGCUCAACUCCAGAACUGCCUUUGAUACUGAAGAUCUUGAGUUCGGGAGAGGUGAGUGGAACUGCGAGUGUAGAGGUGAAAUUCGUAGAUAUUCGCAAGAACACCAGUGGCGAAGGCGGCCCACUCGGAUCGGUACUGACGCUGAGGUGCGAAAGCGUGGGGAGCAAACAGG
rnacentral:rRNA from 1 species